UGGAGAUUCUGUCCUCUUGCCAUGUUUAUACCAGGAAAAAGUGCUAAAGCCAGAGCAAAUGAAUGUGUUUUGGAGAUACAAUGAAAACAUAAUUGUUUUUAAUAUUGAAAAAGGCAUUCCCUCAACAAAUCGACAGAAUGCAAUGUUCAAAGAUCGAAUAGACAGUUUUCCCUCAAAGUAUGCAAAUGGGAACUUCUCUCUCAGACUCUCAAAUCUGGAACUCACGGACAAAGGGCAAUUCUCAUGUUCCAUCCCGGAUGUGUUUCUAAAAAACAAACUAAUGCUGCUUGUCAGAGAACCACCAACAACAGUGCUUACUGCUACAGUGUCUACUCCAAAACAAAAACCUGAUACGAGAAACUCGUCCAUCAAAGUUCCGGCAGAUGGGAUUGCAACUUUCCUGAUUGUUGUUUUCAAUUGUUUUAUUUUGCACUAUAUUGUGCUACUUUACUAGACUGCUGUAUUGCUAAACUUUGUUUUAUAUCGGUGCCUUUCUUUAACUUUAAAAUUGUUUGAACUUUGUGUAUGUAUUAAAUUUUAUUUGCUGUAUAAA